AGCGAACGCUGGCGGCAGGCCUAACACAUGCAAGUCGAACGGGUGUAGCAAUACAUCAGUGGCAGACGGGUGAGUAACACGUGGGAACCUUCCUAGGGGUACGGAACAACUCAGGGAAACUUGAGCUAAUACCGUAUACGUCCGUGAGGAGAAAGAUUUAUCGCCCUUAGACGGGCCCGCGUCGGAUUAGCUAGUUGGUGGGGUAACGGCCUACCAAGGCGACGAUCCGUAGCUGAUCUUAGAGGAUGAUCAGCCACACUGGGACGGAGACACGGCCCAGACUCCUACGGGAGGCAGCAGUGGGGAAUCUUGGACAAUGGGCGCAAGCCUGAUCCAGCCAUGCCGCGUGAGUGAAGAAGGUCUUCGGAUUGUAAAGCUCUUUUGCCAGGGACGAUAAUGACGGUACCUGGAGAAUAAGCCCCGGCAAACUUCGUGCCAGCCGCCGCAGUAAAAC
rnacentral:rRNA from 1 species